rnacentral:rRNA from 1 species
AGAGUUUGAUCCUGGCUCAGGAUGAACGCUAGCUACAGGCUUAACACAUGCAAGUCGAGGGGAAACGACAUCGAAAGCUUGCUUUUGAUGGGCGUCGACCGGCGCACGGGUGAGUAACGCGUAUCCAACCUGCCCACCACUUGGGGAUAACCUUGCGAAAGUAAGACUAAUACCCAAUGACGUCUCUAGAAGACAUCUGAAAGAGAUUAAAGAUUUAUCGGUGAUGGAUGGGGAUGCGUCUGAUUAGCUUGGUUGGGCGGGGUAACGGCCCACCAAGGCGACGGAUCAGGUAGGGGUUCUGAGAGGAAGGUCCCCCACAUUGGAACUGAGACGACGGUCCCAAACUCCUACGGGAGGCA